UACGUAGGGGGCAAGCGUUGUCCGGAUUUAUUGGGCGUAAAGAGCGUGUAGGCGGCCAGAUAGGUCUGCUGUGAAAACUCGAGGCUCAACCUCGAGACGUCGGCGGAAACCAUCUGGCUAGAGUCCGGAAGAGGAGAGUGGAAUUCCUGGUGUAGCGGUGAAAUGCGCAGAUAUCAGGAAGAACACCCGUGGCGAAGGCGGCUCUCUGGGACGGUACUGACGCUGAGACGCGAAAGCGUGGGGAGCGAACAGG
rnacentral:rRNA from 1 species